rnacentral:rRNA from 1 species
GAAUUUAUAAAGUUAUUAAAUUUUUGAGUUUUAACUAUAUUAUAUAAAAAAAUAAAUUUUUAUUAAAUUGAAAAGAAAAAAUAUUUAAAUUAUAGUUUAUUAGUAUUGUGAAAGAAUUUUUAAAAAUUUUUAAAAGAAAAAUUAAAAUUUUGUACCUUGUGUAUCAGGGUUAAUUAAAAUAAUUUAAUUAUUUAAUAAUCUCGAAUUUAAAAGAGUUAAUUAUUUAUUUAUUUUAUUGUAAAAUAAAUAUUUAAAAUAAAUAAUUUGUAAUGAAAUGUUAUUCGUUUUUAAAUAUAUCUAGUUUUUAAAGAAAAAGAUUUAAUUUUACAUUUAAAAAUUAAUUUUUUAAGUUUUUAAUAAAUUAUUAUUAAAUAUAAAGUUUUUUAGGGAUAAGCUUGAAAAAUAAUAUUUAUAAUUUUAAAAAAAUAUAAAUAAGUUAUAGGAAUAAAAGUUUCUAUAGAUAAGAAAAUGUUAUAAUUAAUUAUUUAAAGAUUUAUAUUUUUAUAAUAUUUAAGUUUUUUAUUUAAAUAUAUUAAUAAAUUAUUGUUUAAUAGAAAUAAUGAUUGAAUUAGUAAAAAUUUUUUUAAUUAGUAUUAAAUAUUUAAGGUAAAUUUAAGGAAUUCGGCAAAAUUAAUUUUUCACCUGUUUAAUAAAAACAUGUCUUUUUGUUAAUAAUUUAAAGUCUAAUCUGCCCACUGAAUAUUUAAAUGGCCGCGGUAUUUUGACCGUGCAAAGGUAGCAUAAUAAAUAGUUUUUUAAUUGAAAGCUGGAAUGAAUGAUUGAAUGAGAAAAUAACUGUCUCAAAUUUAUUUUUUUUGAAUUUUAUUUUUAAGUAAAAAAGCUUAAAUAAAAUUAGAAGACGAGAAGACCCUAUAGAGUUUAAUAAAUUUAUAUUUUUAAAUAAAUAGUUUUUAUUAUUUUAAGUAAAAUUUUUAUUUAGUUGGGGUGAUUAAAAAAUUUAAUUAACUUUUUUUAUUAAAA